UGCAGUCAGUGCAAGGACAGUGACGGAGGUUAAUGACAGUAAAGUGUUUAAAGGCCGUGUAAAGGAAAUUCAGAAAUUUGUUUCUAAACACAUUAUAAAUGUUAGAAAUGUAUUGCUUAAAACAUGUUACAAAGACUGUUAACUAUGUAGUACUGAAUUGUGGAGUUAGACAGUUAAACAGUUUUUCACCGUAACCCAUUUUUUGUGUUCAGGACUAGAGCGCAUUAGCGUUAGUGGUUUACCAACUCAAUCGAGAGUUACUGUCAUUGCUGUUAGUUACUACAGCCUGCAAGUUGCUAGCUAGCUAUGCCUUCAUCUCGCCAGAAUUUACGAAACAGCUCGGCCUCCUUAUUUAAAUUUCCCAAGAAGAAUGAGAUCAAGAAGAGGUGGAUUGAUUUUGUGAAGAGCCACCUUGAUGGAGAGCUGAGGGUCACCACCAACACCCACCUCUGCAGUGAACAUUUUACACCUGAUAGUUUUACAAACUUUCAUCGGAGACAACUGGGAUUCACUGAUAACCCGCUGUUACUGGUGAAUGGGGCCAAACCAAUUAUCUUCCGCCCUGGCCUUCAUCCUCCUGUCCUGCUGACAUCUGAUGCCAUUGUCAGCAGUAUGUGCCCACCAAUGAGUUCCCUUCCAACCACAAGAGAGACAGAGUGCCAGUGUGACAACAUGCAGAAAGUCACCAGAGAAGUUGGAUGUCAGACGAACUGCGGCCACACAAUUGUCUAAAAGAACACUAAGCAACAGAAAGAAUACAGCUACAAAGGCCACGUACAAGCUGGAGAAGGUGCUAAUGAAUCGUGUUCUUGUGAAAAAGCUGAGCCCUUUCUACCAAACACCACGCAAAUAAAUUUCGGCUGUCAAAAUCUGAUCUGAUUUUAACUGGGACACUUGAAAAAAACAUUAAUAACUAUGACAAGUCAAAAUGUCUAUUUAUGUCAUUUAUAUACUAUACUUUACUUUAUAUUUAUCAUUUGUCAUUAAUAUAUUAUAGUGAAACAUUAAGCACAGUGUUUGAAAAAGAAUUCACGAUAAAGAUUUUAUUGCGAUAUCUAUAGAAAUUUGGGGAAAGUUAGCUAGCUAAAAACUAGCUAAAAGCUAGCUAGUUACUGCAUCUUCUUCUUUUUUACGUUUUAUGGCCGGUGGCAACCAGUGUUAGGGUGCAUUACCAGCGCCUACCAUGACAAAACAAGAAUGGAAAGAAACGGUAAUGAUUUAAGAGGCGCUGGAUUCUUUACACGAUAUUAGCAUAUGUGUAUUAUUAACAUGAUACCAAUAUUUAAUUUUUAAAUAUCAUUGAUUAUUGUCAAUACUGGUAUAACACGUCCGUGUUAUAACAAAUCAGUGGUCUUCUACAUUUAUGAGGACAUUGUAUUGACUUACAUUAAUUUGAUGGGGCUAAAAAACCACAUGCCCAACUCCAAUGGCAGCCUCAGCUAAUGACUAAAAAUCACCAUGACGACCAUCCAAAAUGCCCUUACAAGAACAGUCAGCCCUUAAAAGUCAGUUCUCAGAAAUAGCCAAACCAGACCACACACAAACACACAAGUUUACACACACACACUUUCCCACAGUAAAAAGCUCUGAAGCACAUGACCCAAACAGGACAUCCUCCCAAUCUUUCACUCUCUUAACUUCCCACUCUCCCCCUCCACCCCCAUAAACCACUCUUUCCCAGUUUUAAACUUUUUUUCCUAUUACACUGACUGUUGAAUGAGCCCAUGUGUGCUUUCUUAACAUCACCUCAGCACUAGUUGCUCAAUUAUCCUGCACAGAUUAGCAAAUACAGACAUUUUCCCCUCUUACUGAUGUCGUUUCCCCUGCCCUUUCUGUCCUUCUGUGUAAAAGU